GCUAAUUCUUACUCACCACAGAGAGCAGCAGAGGGCUCCUCCAGGCUGCCCCCCAUUCCUAACUGCUGCAGUGCAGUGUACAGGCCACACUAAAAGCUUAUUUCCUUCUCAUUACAGGCAUGGAAAGUUCUCUGGUAACUGGGAAAUGCCUGCGACUUCCUCUGUUCAUCACGGGGAGGGGAGUAUCCCCACUCAUUCCACUAAAACCCACCAUGUUCCAGGUCCCCUGCCGCGUUGCACCCCAGCUGCAGCCCAGAUCCUCGAUCAUCUCUGUCACCAGCUUCAGCCUGAGCUGCUCCUGGGUGCCUAGCCAGUCUCCUCUUGGAAAGGAUGGGGUCCGCAGACCCUUUCCAACUCCGGAGCCUCUCCCACAUGUUAGACGCACUAAUGUACCAUUAUUAGCAGAGCAGAACACUGGCUUCAAUAGUUCAAGUAUCUGGUACAAGCUAUUUGUUUCCAAUGAUUUCAUCUGGAAAAGUGAAUAUUCUCAAAGGAAGAGAUAGAGAUCAGUAAAUAAAGUGACUUAUCUCUCUGGAACAUUGUG
rnacentral:lncRNA from 1 species